rnacentral:rRNA from 1 species
UGCCAGCCGCCGCGGUAAUACGGAGGGUGCAAGCGUUAAUCGGAAUUACUGGGCGUAAAGGGUGCGUAGGUGGUUUGGUAAGUUAGGUGCGAAAUCCCCGGGCUCAACCCGGGAAUUGCGCUUGAUACUACCAGGCUAGAGUACUAGAGAGGGAAGUGGAAUUUCCGGUGUAGCGGUGAAAUGCGUAGAUAUCGGAAGGAACACCAGUGGCGAAGGCGACCACCUGGACGGUGACUGACGCUCAGACCCGAAAGCGUGGGGAGCAAACAGGAUUAGAUA